GUAAGGAAUAUUGGACAAUGCCCGCAAGGGUGAUCCAGCCAUCCCGCGUGCAGGAAGAAUGCCCUCUGGGUUGUAAACUGCUUUUAUAAGGGAAGAACGGCCCCGAUUGAUCGGGGUAUGACGGUACCUUAUGAAUAAGCACCGGCUAACUCCGUGCCAGCAGCCGCGGUAAUACGGAGGGUGCAAGCGUUAUCCGGAAUCACUGGGUUUAAAGGGUGCGUAGGCGGUUAUGUAAGUCAGGGGUGAAAGUUCACAGCUCAACUGUGGGAUUGCCUUUGAAACUGUGUAACUUGAAUCAGAUAGAGGUUAGUGGAAUGCGACAAGUAGCGGUGAAAUGCAUAGAUAUGUCGUGGAAUACCGAUUGCGAAGGCAGCUAACUGGGUCUUGAUUGACGCUGAGGCACGAAAGCGUGGGGAGCGAACAGGAUUAGAAACCCUAGUAGUCC
rnacentral:rRNA from 1 species